rnacentral:rRNA from 1 species
UACGGAGGGUGCAAGCGUUAAUCGGAAUUACUGGGCGUAAAGCGUGCGCAGGCGGUUUGUUAAGUCUGUUGUGAAAUCCCCGAGCUCAACUUGGGAAUUGCAAUGGAUACUGGCAGGCUGGAGUAUGAUAGAGGAAGGUGGAAUUCCCGGUGUAGCAGUGAAAUGCGUAGAGAUCGGGAGGAACACCAGUGGCGAAGGCGGCCUUCUGGACCAAUACUGACGCUCAUGCACGAAAGCGUGGGGAGCAAACAGG